rnacentral:rRNA from 1 species
GACAGAGGGUGCAAACGUUGUUCGGAAUUACUGGGCGUAAAGCGCGUGUAGGCUGCCCUGCAAGUCGGAUGUGAAAGCCCUGGGCUCAACCUAGGAAGUGCACUCGAAACUGCAGGGCUGGAGUCCUGGAGAGGAAGGCGGAAUUCUCGGUGUAGAGGUGAAAUUCGUAGAUAUCGAGAGGAACACCGGUGGCGAAGGCGGCCUUCUGGACAGUGACUGGCGCUGAGACGCGAAAGCGUGGGGAGCAAACAGG